CACUUCGAUGACUCUACAUGGAAACCCGGUUUCGUUCGAGAACGAAAUAAGCUGCAGAGAAAGUUCAGACUUCGUCCAAGCCCACAAGAUUACUGCGGUUGCAAAAAUUUAUUCCACGCACAUCAGUUUGCCAUCCCCACCCGCAAAUAGCAAAAGCUAGACGAGGCGGGCGGAGAGGUAAGGUUAAAGCAGUCAAAUUGCAGUGAGGUGAGCUGGCGAGGUUUGCAAAGGAAACUGACUGUUUAUUCCGAUCGUGAUUUGAAGCAGGCAUAACUUUCAAGAAUCAGGGGAGAUGUUUUAUUACGAGGUGAACCUGUUGCAAAAAGUUACAGCACGAUACUCUGUAAUUAAGAUCUUAGAAGUCAGUUUACCCUCUCUGAGAGAGAAGGUGAUCUAAAAUCUCUCACGAAGGAGUUUCAUGAGUCAAUGGAAAGAAGAAGAAGAACUUUGAUCAAAUCGUGUGCAUAGUUUAUUUCUCUAAGAAAUAUCGAAAGAUUUCAUGGGUUCAUCACUUUCAUCUACGUCAAUCUUUCUCUUCCCUCGGAUACGAAUUGUGAAAAACUCGCCCUUUUAGCCUCCCGUUCUAAAAAUUGAGAAGAAUACAACUAUCUCAAAAUUUUUUUGGAAAGGUCAAUUCUGCCGAUGUCGCUGUUGCUGAAGGUCCCUUCAACCGCUUCCCUCAGUCAUCUCUUAUUGCUGCCUCUUCAUGGUGUAUUUUUAUCUUUCUAAGCUUUAAGUCUGCGUUAGUUUCCUUCACUUUGUACUUUGUCGGUAUGUCGCAGGAAAUAAGUUGAAUAGGUAGAAAUAUCUAGUGACGCAGCUUAUUUGAGAACAUGCAGAGGCUCAGUUCUUCAACUGAGAAUCAAAACAAUCCGAGUCUUACCACAAACUAGAACAUUUCGAACAAAACGGACAAGAUUCGGUUAUCCACUUUCACACCAUAGAAAUGUUGGAUGGGUUAUUGAUUCAUUGGAAAAUCUAAUGUGCCCCGAAGAGUAAACUCUACCUGGCUCUUUGCCCAUUAAUUUUGAGGCAUAGUUAACAAAGAAGAUUUCGUCCAGGGUGGAGAGGGUUUGAGCUCAUAACUCCACACCUACUCCAUCCCCCUUGUUUCCAAAAGGUAAAGAAAAGAUAUUAGAGACCUUAACUAAAGAUUUCUUUGUACAGAUAACGUGUUACAAGUGCUCCCAGUAAAAAAUAUAGAUAUAAAUAUGAGCCGUUUCCUAAAGUAUGGAAAGGAACAACUUUCGGAAACACGAAUUUACCAAGUACUCGCAAGGAUACUAAAUUAUCAUAUCAUAGGCACUAUAUGGGUACCUUUUAGGUACCGUUUCUCCUCAACGGGCCAGGGGAACUCCCCUUUUAUUGUUUCAAAAGUACCUUCCCGUAAAGAAAAACGACCAAUGAGUAAAGUUUGACAAAAAUCUCAGUGCAGGUUUUAAACUACAAGACAAAUAACCUUAUCCAAUAUAAUCAAGUUACUUCUCGAAGGCAUUUCCUAACAUUAAAGACAUGUAUCGAUGGCACAAUAUUCUUUUUCAUAGCUAAGAAAUAAAUAUUACAUUCUUACCGCAUAGAAUUUGAAUAAAAAGCCUUUUUUUCCA